rnacentral:rRNA from 1 species
UGUAAGGCCGGGCACGGGGGCGAGGUAAAGGGGAGGGGGCAAUGGGUAUCCGGGUUUACGGGGGGUAAAGGGGUGGUGGGCGGGCCAUUAAGUCAGGGGUGAAAUCCCGGAGCUGAACUCCGGAACUGCCUUUGAUACUAUUGGUCUUGAAUAUUGUUGAGGUGGGCGGAACGGGUCAUGUAGCGGUGAAAUGCAUAGAUAUGACCCGGAACACCGAUUGCGAAGGCAGCCCGCUAAGCAAUGAUUGACGCUGAGGCACGAAAGCGUGGGGAUCAAACAGGAUUAGAUACCCCGGUAGUC